AUUGAACGCUGGCGGCAUGCCUUACACAUGCAAGUCGAACGGCAGCACGGGGGCUUGCUCCUGGUGGCGAGUGGCGAACGGGUGAGUAAUACAUCGGAACGUACCCUGAAGUGGGGGAUAACGUAGCGAAAGUUACGCUAAUACCGCAUAUUCUGUGAGCAGGAAAGAGGGGGAUCGCAAGACCUCUUGCUUUAGGAGCGGCCGAUGUCGGAUUAGCUAGUUGGUGAGGUAAAGGCUCACCAAGGCGACGAUCCGUAGCGGGUCUGAGAGGAUGAUCCGCCACACUGGGACUGAGACACGGCCCAGACUCCUACGGGAGGCAGCAGUGGGGAAUCUUGCGCAAUGCGCGAAAGCGUGACGCAGCAACGCCGCGUGCGGGAAGACGGCCUCGGUUGUAACGACUUCAGUGGACGAAGGACUGCGCCGGUCGAUAGCGGCCGGACGGUGACGGUACCGUUCUACAA
rnacentral:rRNA from 1 species